rnacentral:rRNA from 1 species
CGCCCCCAGGAUGGGC